AUGAUUGCAUUACCAUUUACAUUAAUACAGGUUUAUUAACACAGGUAAAGUUUCUUUAUUAGCAAAUUUAUACAAUAACAUCGUUUCUAUUGUAUACUAUUUAAGAAGAAUUUGAACGACUCUUCUAUGAACUCAUCAAUUUGAAGAACAAUAUGAAGAAUUGUGGACUUUUGUAGAAUGAUUCAAAAUAAGUUUCAAGAUAUCCAUCCUUCAGUUUGUAGAAUGAAGUAUGAAGUGGAGCAGAAAGUCCAUAUUAUGUCCCAAUCUGGAACACAAAUACAACAUUGUGACGUUGAUUCUUGCAAAAAUACCUUAUCCAACUCCUCAUCAAGAUUAGUCAUUAUCUAACAAAUUUUUACCUAAUUAUGUAGCAUAUACUGUAUAUAAGCAAAUUAUUGUUGAUACAUUUAAGAUAAAAUUACACAGGAAUGCCACAGAAUUAAGUAAUGACGCCAAAAAACAGCAUUUAGAACACUGAACAUCGGAUAAAGAAGAUACAUUCUAUAAAACGCCAUUAACUAUUGGCAAUAAUGUAGAACAAAUUAAAUACACCCAAAGCACUUAGACGGAUGUGUACAGAUUGAAAACACUAUAUAUAAUAAUAAAGCUAAGCACACUGAAUAGAUUUCUAGGCAAAGAUAAUUGCCUAGAUUGAAAACAUUAUUACACUUUAUAAAACUACAUUACAAAAAAUAUCCAGCAACUUUCCCGGCAAGAUUUACAACCACGUGUGUG